rnacentral:rRNA from 1 species
GAUGAACGCUGGCGGCGUGCUUAACACAUGCAAGUCGAACGAAGCACUUUAUUUGAUUUCCUUCGGGACUGAUUAUUUUGUGACUGAGUGGCGGACGGGUGAGUAACGCGUGGGUAACCUGCCUUGUACAGGGGGAUAACAGUUGGAAACGGCUGCUAAUACCGCAUAAGCGCACGGCAUCGCAUGAUGCAGUGUGAAAAACUCCGGUGGUAUAAGAUGGACCCGCGUUGGAUUAGAUAGUUGGUGAGGUAACGGCCCACCAAGGCGACGAUCCAUAGCCGACCUGAGAGGGUGACCGGCCACAUUGGGACUGAGACACGGCCCAAACUCCUACGGGAGGCAGCAGUGGGGAAUAUUGCACAAUGGGCGAAAGCCUGAUGCAGCGACGCCGCGUGAGCGAAGAAGUAUUUCGGUAUGUAAAGCUCUAUCAGCAGGGAAGAUAAUGACGGUACCUGACUAAGAAGCACCGGCUAAAUACGUG